CAUAGAGUCCCCAUAGACCCCCGUAGAGCCCCAUAGAGCCCUCAUAGAGCCCCAUAGACCCCUAUAGACUCCCAUAGAGCCCCCAUAGACCCCAUAUCUCCCCCCCCCUUUCCCCCCCCCACUUGUAGGGCCGGGGAUGGGCGCCCCAUUGGCGGUGGUGGGACAUAGGGACCCAUAGGGACCCCAUAGAACCCCAUAGAGACCCCAUAGAGCCCCAUAGAGUCCUCAUAGACCCCCAUAGAGUCCCCAUAGACCCCCAUAGACCCCCAUAGAGACCCCAUAGACCCUCGUAGACCCCCAUAGGGACCCCUUAGAGCCCCGUGGAGCCCCCAUAGACCCCCAUAGACCCCCAUGGAGACCCCAUGGAGACCCCAUAGAGCCCCAUAG
rnacentral:lncRNA from 1 species